rnacentral:tRNA from 1 species
GCCUUCGUGGUGUAGUGGUCAGCACGUCGAUGCGCAACCGAGAGGUCCGUGGUUCGAUUCCUGUCGAAGGCG